rnacentral:rRNA from 1 species
AUGGCCAAGAUCCGAGAGAGGAAGACAAGGUAUAUUGGCCAAGUCAAAUGCAUCAAGGACGGAGCAGGCCAACUCUUGGUGAAGGACGAGGAGAUUAAGCAUAGAUGGCGGGAGUACUUCGACAAGCUGUUCAAUGGGGAGAAUGAGAGUUCUUCCAUUGAACUGGAUGACUCCUUUGAUGAGACCAACAUGCAUUUUGUGUGGCGAAUCCAGAAGUCCGAGGUCAAGGAGGCUUUAAAAAGGAUGAAAGGAGGCAAGGCGAUGGGCCCUGACUGUAUCCCCAUUGAGGUGUGGAAAGGUCUCGGGGACAUAGCUAUAGUAUGGCUAACCAAGCUUUUCAACCUCAUUUUUCGGGCAAACAAGAUACCAGAAGAAUGGAGACGGAGUAUAUCAGUACCAAUCUUCAAGAACAAGGGGGAUGUUCAGAGUUGUACUAAUUACCGUGGAAUUAAGCUGAUGAGCCAUACAAAGAAGCUAUGGGAGAGAGUCAUUGAGCACCGCUUAAGAAGAAUGACAAGCGUGACCAAAAAUUAG